rnacentral:rRNA from 1 species
AUCCUGGCUCAGGAUGAACGCUAGCGGCAGGCUUAACACAUGCAAGUCGAGGGGCAUCGGGAGUAGCAAUACUGCCGGCGACCGGCGCAAGGGUGCGUAACGCGUGAGCAACAUGCCCGUAUCAGGGGGAUAAUCCAUGGAAACGUGGUCUAAUACCCCAUAGUAAUUAUGUAAGGCAUCUUAUAUAAUUUAAAGCUUUGGUGGAUACGGAUUGGCUCGCGUGACAUUAGCUGGAUGGUAAGGUAACGGCUUACCAUGGCUACGAUGUCUAGGGGUUCUGAGAGGAAGGUCCCCCACACUGGAACUGAGACACGGUCCAGACUCCUACGGGAGGCAGCAGUGAGGAAUAUUGGACAAUGGAUGGAAAUCUGAUCCAGCCAUGCCGCGUGCAAGGAAGACGGCCCUAUGGGUUGUAAACUGCUUUUGUAUGGGAGCAAUAAGGGCUACGUGUAGUCCGAUGAGAGUACCAUACGAAUAAGCACCGGCUAACUCCGUGCCAGCCGCUGC